UAUGGAAGCUUGCUUCCACUGAGAAGAUAGUGGCGAACGGGUGAGUAACGACGUGGGUAACCUGCCCAUAAGAGGGGGAUAACAUCCGGAAACGGGUGCUAAUACCGCAUAGUUUCUUGAUCGCAUGAUCGGGAAAGGAAAGACGGCCUUUGUGCUGUCGCUUAUGGAUGGACCCGCGGCGUAUUAGUUAGUUGGUGAGGUAACGGCUCACCAAGACGAUGAUACGUAGCCGACCUGAGAGGGUGAUCGGCCACAUUGGGACUGAGACACGGCCCAAACUCCUACGGGAGGCAGCAGUAGGGAAUCUUCCGCAAUGGACGAAAGUCUGACGGAGCAACGCCGCGUGAGUGAAGAAAGGUUUUCGGAUCGUAAAACUCUGUUGUCAGAGAAGAACAAGUUGGAGAGUAACUGCUCCAGCCUUGACGGUAUCUGACCAGAAAGCCACGGCUAACUACGUGCCAGCAGCCGC
rnacentral:rRNA from 1 species